CAGACACGGGGGAUGGCUCUGGGCUCCAGUCUAGCUCAAGGCAGGCUGUGUCUUUCAGUGCAUGGCAUGCAAUUUUUCUUAACACAUGUGUCCCCACCUCUUCAAAACCAGCGAAAUUUCUAGUAAGAGACACUCUCUCAGAUGGUCCUAGUGUUCCCCAGGGUGCCUCAGACACAGGGUGAGAGAAGCAGUGGUGGCAGGAUCAGCCACACAAGGCCAGUUAACCAUCUACUUUGAGGUUCUCCUAUUGUUGUAGCUUUAUGCCUUCCAUAUAUAAAAGGCACUUGAAUUGUAAGCCUUUUUCAUGAGUUCUAUCAAGUCUCAUGCACUAAAACAAAACCCCAGUGUGUGCAUAUGAAGCACUUAAAACUGAGGCCUUUACCAUAGUGACUACAGCUCAUAAAUAAGAUAUCCUAAGUCAGGGUUUCUGUUGAGGUGGCAAAGAAUGCAUUGUCCCAAACAUUAUGCCAAGAGUGGAUGUGAAUGCCAAUUGUACUAAAUGGUCUCAGUCUUAUUUCAGUUAACCUUGUUUUGCAGUCCAUUUACCCAACUGAAUUUGUGUUAGACCUUAUCUAACAGAAUUUGUGAUAUGUAUUCAUUUUUUCUUAUUGUUCAUUUUGUUACCAAAUGCCUGUGGUUAAUGCUACUGCAUAGCCAGCAGUCCUCUUGUCCUUCACGCAUGGUCUGGGAGGCAAUGGGAAAUACACAACACAGGCUACUUUUCUGGUCCUUACUCAACAUUUCAAAAUCAUUCUCUUUCUUUUCCUAUCCCUGAAGGAAUUUAAGGAUGAAAACAAAACAGAUGUUUGCACUUUCUGCAUUACAAUGUGUGUUCUAUUCCCACUUGUUUAUAGAAUGAAUGGCAGAGUAUUCGAUGGCACCAGAAGCAAAUUUGUCAGCUUCCAACUUCACUACACGAAAUCUUGCUUAGCACAUGGGGAAAAUGGACUAAUACUUCUUGUUUUAUUGACUAUUAAAAUGAGGCCACCUACAGGUUCCACAAUAAACCUGCAGAAAUGUCUAAUCCUGCUUGUGUGAAGAUCUGCAUUCCAGUCUGGCUUGCUCCCACUUUGUUGUAAAGAGAAGUCAUACACCACAAAGCCUGACUAGGCUUUUCAGAUCAAAGCCACGACAGCUGCCAACAACUGUCUUCCUUUUACAGUCGCUGAAAAAAAACCAAAAGUGGGAUAAUAUUUGCAAACAUGCCCUAUUGGAAUCACUGGAAUAGCCAAACUGCAAACAGUGCAGGCAGGUGACACUCUGAAAUCCCUACACACAGGAUACCAGUGUAGUAUUAAGUGCACUAAACAGAAAGGGCUCAGUUAUGUCCACAUAUUUUUGGAAUUGGGACCCACUUGAGCAGCCCAAAUUAAGCAGGAAAAAUACAGAAGCUUUCCCCAAAGACCUCCUCGGACUUGCAGCCAGUCUUAUUGGACAUUUUGCUUAGCCAAUAUAGCCAGCAGAAAAGAGAAACAGUUCCAGACAAGAAAAGACAACAUGCUUCCAUUUUCAAAGUCCUGCUUUACUCUUGUUAGACAGCUUGCAAACAGUUGAGACAUUUCACUCUGCAGAUGUCUAAGCCAGUGCACUCUCAGUCGUUGCUCUCUGUAGUUUUCCAGACAAUGGCACAUUAUUAUUUUCUUUUCACAGUGGAAUAAAAACUGUCUAAGCUGUGGCUUCAUCUUGUCUUGGACCUUGUACUUCUCAUUUUUUAUAUGCCCAAGUGAAAGGAGUAUCUGUUCCCCAAAAUACAAACAAUUGCCUGUUGGCACUGUAGGAACCAUGACAAGUUGUAUGUGCCCACCUGCUGGGAAAAGUAGCAAUUCUUUGGAAAAACAAAUAAAAUACAUCUUUGUUGGUCUCUUAAAGAGGACAAGUUGAUUUCGUGUGUGGGCUAGUUAAUGUUCAUGUUCUUCCAGGCUGCCCUAAAGCCCUUGUUCUUGCAUUUCUAGUAUUGUCUCAUCCAGUUUACAACUUUAUUAUUGUAUGUUUCAUAGAAACACAAACAUCUGGAGAACAUCCUCAGGUAUAAUUGCUGGGCAGUGCAGAAAAUAUCUGGUGUGAUCUGAAACAGCUUUUUCUUCCCGUGAAAGUACACCUCUGGGACUGGGAAAUUUCAAAGAGAUAAAUCCAAGCUCCAUUCCACUCGACCAAGCAGCUUGUCCUUAUCAAGAUCUGUGGGCUGGGCAGUCAGCUGUUGGAGGUCUGUAAAAGAAUAAGCCUGGGAUUGUUCACAGGAAUUUUCAGCUUCAAUGCAGAGGAAAGAAAACUCUUCCAACUGGACUUCUACACCACUGAGAAGAAAUAACAAUAACAGCUCUAAAUGUAAAAUAAACAUUUCUGGAAAAAUACUAUCUUUUCAAAGAGGCUGUAGUCUGAAUUUCAAGCUACUAGUAAUAUGACACAGAGGCUUCGAAUGUGCCUGUGGCUACAGCUCCUUGCUUUGUGUGGCACUGGGGACAAACAGUCCCAGUAGAAAGGAAUGAAUCUGUUUACUCAUGCCUUGAUUUAGAAAGUGAUCCUUCAGAUGGAGUUGUCUUAAGCCCCAUGAAUGUUCCUGCUUUGAAUCGCCAGUUUACAACUAGAUGCAGCUGUUACUGUGAUCAAGUAUUGCCAAUUCUUUCUAAUUACACAGCACCUCAAUUGCACGAGUG